GCAGAUAUGGCCGAGUGGUUAAGGCGAGUGACUCGAAAUCAGUUUCCAUCUUGGAGCGUAGGUUCGAAUCCUACUAUCUGCG
rnacentral:tRNA from 1 species